GAAUGAAAUCCUGUAGAGAUGCCCAGAGGAGGGGCAUGCCCAGGGAUGGCAGAGGGAAGGACGAGUCAGACGGAGAGAUUUUUCUCUGUUCAAACUCCCUGCUCCCAUUAGUUCCCCCAAACCAAUCACAGGGCUAACAGAUGUGGAAUUCCCUCCUGCCGGGAAGGGCGCUUUCUCUGCUCUAGAAGAGUGGAAGGGUUUUUUCAAGGGUGGUGUAAGGGGCUGAGGAGAAGCAAUGGAAGCCUUGGAAGGUAAUAAGACAGAACUUCAACUUCUUUACCAGGGGAACUUUGCAAUCUAAAGGUGAGCUGACGAGAAUCUUCCUGGACUGACACCGGUAGCAGGGGUGGAAGAGAGGAGCUGUCUCCAGUGGAUGGAAGUCAGAACAGCUCCGAGGACACGGAGCAGGCAAGACUGUAGGUCACCCAGGCGGCAGGCACGGGCUGGUAAGCAGGACGACUCAUUGUCUCACUGUCCCUCCAGGUUAAUUCUGUUCCAGGGAGCGAGGGAUACCAGGCUUGGCCAACAGGGUACAAGCAGCGCUGUCCGCGGACCACUAAGGACAUCAAUACUCCAUAUCUAGUAGCUGGUCUUUCCCACCUCGUUCUACCUCAAGCACCAGAUUUCUUAUGAAAUAUGACCCCGUGAGUUAGAAAAGAACAUGACUGUGUGUUCAGUUGUAGUCUGUGGGAGAAGACAAACUAAACUGAAGUUGUCAGGGCAGGAGACAGGACUGGCAGGUGUGACGGUUUGAAGAAUGGCCCCACAGGCUCACCAGGGAGUGGCACUAUUUGAAAAAUGAUAAGGAUCAGGAGGGGUGGCCUUGUUUGAGGAAGUGUGUCACUGGGGUGGCCUGUGGACUGGGAUGUAUCUCAGCUCCGGCUCCAGCAUCACGUGGGCUGCAAUGCUCCUAGCCAAGAUGAUAAUGGACUAAGCCUCUGAAAUUGUAAGCAAGAAACUAAAUGCUUUCUUUAAUCCCAUGCAGCAGGGAGUCAGGCAGUGGCCAGCAGAUCGCUGAGUUCAAGACCAGCCUGGUUCAUAGAGUAAGUUCAAGGUCAGUCAGGGUUACACAGAGAAACCCUGCCGGGGGGCUCAGGUCGCCUUGGUUGGAGUUCUCACUGAUGGAACAGUGACAAGAGAGCAGGUGAAGUGCUUACCUACAGGACUAAUAUCCUGAGACUCAACCCACAGCUCUCAAGAAACUAGACAGAGCUGUGCACAUCUAGACUCCCACUGUCUCCCUGGGGAUGGCCAGAAGUUCAUGGCCAGCCAGUGAACUGAAAGAGACACUGUCUAAAACACAAUGCAAGUCAAGGCCUGACACCCAAGGUUAUCCUCUGGGACACAUAUUCAAAGACACAUAUGCAUCACACACACAAGGAGGAGGAGUCAGACUCAAUAUGCUUGCCUCCGGCUUUGCAGCUACUGUUCAGUUAAAGACAUACAUGUUCACUGUGUCACCAGCUAAUGGCCCAGCAGAAGGGGAACGUAGAAAAGGCUAAGACGGUGACUCUAACAGUGGGCAGGCAGAAACCUCUAAUGCCGUGUGGUUUGCAGGCCUUUUAAAUUACGUCUUGACCAGGCGUGGUGGCACACACACUAAUCCCAGUACCUGAGAGGCGGAGGCAGGAGGGCCACAGUAAGUUUCAGGCCAGCCUGGCCUGCAUAGUGAGUUCCGGGUUAGACAGGGAUCUAUAAUGAAACCUUGCCUCAAAAACAAUUUAGGCCCUCUGUGGUGACAUGCGCCUUUAAUCCCAGCUCUUAGGAAGCAGGCAGACCUCUGUGAGUUCACAGAGAGUUCCAGGGUAGCCAGGGCUACACAAAGACCCUGUCUUAAAAACAAAUAACAAAAUUAAUUUUAAAAAGCAAAAGGAAAUCCUGUCUGAAAUGAAGAGGGAGAGUAAUAAGGCUAAUAUACUAAGCACCACGUCAGCAAAACCAAAUGCACCCCACGUGGGCAGCAGAGAGGCCUCGCAGUCUAAGGAGCUAUAGGAGCAGGAUUGUGCAGAGGAUGGGGACCUACAGGAGACGGGGCUCAUUUGUUUUGGAGAAUGCUUUAAAUAUAAUAAAGGCAAUAAAUCUUACCUGCU
ensembl:lncRNA